UACGUAGGGUGCGAGCGUUGUCCGGAAUUAUUGGGCGUAAAGAGCUCGUAGGCGGUUUGUUGCGUCGGCCGUGAAAACCUGCAGCUUAACUGUGGGCCUGCGGUCGAUACGGGCAGACUUGAGUUCGGUAGGGGAGACUGGAAUUCCUGGUGUAGCGGUGAAAUGCGCAGAUAUCAGGAAGAACACCCGUGGCUAAGGCGGCUCUCUAGUACGGUACUGACGCUGAGACGCGAAAGCGUGGGGAGCGAACAGG
rnacentral:rRNA from 1 species